AGACCCGAAACCCGGUGAUCUAGCCAUGGGCAGGUUGAAGGUUGGGUAACACUAACUGGAGGACCGAACCGACUAAUGUUGAAAAAUUAGCGGAUGACCUGUGGCUGGGGGUGAAAGGCCAAUCAAACCGGGAGAUAGCUGGUUCUCCCCGAAAGCUAUUUAGGUAGCGCCUCGUGAAUUCAUCUCCGGGGGUAGAGCACUGUUUCGGCUAGGGGGCCAUCCCGGCUUACCAACCCGAUGCAAACUGCGAAUACCGGAGAAUGUUAUCACGGGAGACACACGGCGGGUGCUAACGUCCGUCGUGAAGAGGGAAACAACCCAGACCGCCAGCUAAGGUCCCAAAGUCAUGGUUAAGUGGGAAACGAUGUGGGAAGGCCCAGACAGCCAGGAUGUUGGCUUAGAAGCAGCCAUCAUUUAAAGAAAGCGUAAUAGCUCACUGGUCGAGUCGGCCUGCGCGGAAGAUGUAACGGGGCUAAACCAUGCACCGAAGCUGCGGCAGCGACACUGUGUGUUGUUGGGUAGGGGAGCGUUCUGUAAGCCUGUGAAGGUGUGUCGUGAGGCAUGCUGGAGGUAUCAGAAGUGCGAAUGCUGACAUAAGUAACGAUAAAGCGGGUGAAAAGCCCGCUCGCCGGAAGACCAAGGGUUCCUGUCCAACGUUAAUCGGGGCAGGGUGAGUCGACCCCUAAGGCGAGGCCGAAAGGCGUAGUCGAUGGGAAACGGGUUAAUAUUCCCGUACUUGGUGUUACUGCGAAGGGGGGACGGAGAAGGCUAUGUUGGCCGGGCGACGGUUGUCCCGGUUUAAGCGUGUAGGUGUGUGUUCCAGGUAAAUCCGGUUCACUUUAACACUGAGGCGUGAUGACGAGGCACUACGGUGCUGAAGUGACAAAUGCCCUGCUUCCAGGAAAAGCCUCUAAGCAUCAGGUAACAUCAAAUCGUACCCCAAACCGACACAGGUGGUCAGGUAGAGAAUACCAAGGCGCUUGAGAGAACUCGGGUGAAGGAACUAGGCAAAAUGGUGCCGUAACUUCGGGAGAAGGCACGCUGACACGUAGGUGAAGUGAUUUACUCAUGGAGCUGAAGUCAGUCGAAGAUACCAGCUGGCUGCAACUGUUUAUUAAAAACACAGCACUGUGCAAACACGAAAGUGGACGUAUACGGUGUGACGCCUGCCCGGUGCCGGAAGGUUAAUUGAUGGGGUCAGCGCAAGCGAAGCUCCUGAUCGAAGCCCCGGUAAACGGCGGCCGUAACUAUAACGGUCCUAAGGUAGCGAAAUUCCUUGUCGGGUAAGUUCCGACCUGCACGAAUGGCGUAAUGAUGGCCAGGCUGUCUCCACCCGAGACUCAGUGAAAUUGAACUCGCUGUGAAGAUGCAGUGUACCCGCGGCAAGACGGAAAGACCCCGUGAACCUUUACUAUAGCUUGACACUGAACAUUGAGCCUUGAUGUGUAGGAUAGGUGGGAGGCUUUGAAGCGUGGACGCCAGUCUGCGUGGAGCCGACCUUGAAAUACCACCCUUUAAUGUUUGAUGUUCUAACGUGGACCCGUAAUCCGGGUUGCGGACAGUGUCUGGUGGGUAGUUUGACUGGGGCGGUCUCCUCCUAAAGAGUAACGGAGGAGCACGAAGGUUGGCUAAUCCUGGUCGGACAUCAGGAGGUUAGUGCAAUGGCAUAAGCCAGCUUGACUGCGAGCGUGACGGCGCGAGCAGGUGCGAAAGCAGGUCAUAGUGAUCCGGUGGUUCUGAAUGGAAGGGCCAUCGCUCAACGGAUAAAAGGUACUCCGGGGAUAACAGGCUGAUACCGCCCAAGAGUUCAUAUCGACGGCGGUGUUUGGCACCUCGAUGUCGGCUCAUCACAUCCUGGGGCUGAAGUAGGUCCCAAGGGUAUGGCUGUUCGCCAUUUAAAGUGGUACGCGAGCUGGGUUUAGAACGUCGUGAGACAGUUCGGUCCCUAUCUGCCGUGGGCGCUGGAGAACUGAGGGGGGCUGCUCCUAGUACGAGAGGACCGGAGUGGACGCAUCACUGGUGUUCGGGUUGUCAUGCCAAUGGCACUGCCCGGUAGCUAAAUGCGGAAGAGAUAAGUGCUGAAAGCAUCUAAGCACGAAACUUGCCCCGAGAUGAGUUCUCCCUGAGACUUUAGGUCUCCUGAAGGAACGUUGAAGACGACGACGUUGAUAGGCCGGGUGUGUAAGCGCAGCGAUGCGUUGAGCUAACCGGUACUAAUGAACCGUGAGGCUUAACCUUACA
rnacentral:rRNA from 1 species